rnacentral:rRNA from 1 species
GACGAACGCUGGCGGCGUGCUUAACACAUGCCAGUCGAACGGAAAGGCCCUGCUUUUGUGGGGUGCUCGAGUGGCGAACGGGUGAGUAACACGUGAGUAACCUGCCCUUGACUUUGGGAUAACUUCAGGAAACUGGGGCUAAUACCGGAUAGGAGCUCCUGCUGCAUGGUGGGGGUUGGAAAGUUUCGGCGGUUGGGGAUGGACUCGCGGCUUAUCAGCUUGUUGGUGGGGUAGUGGCUUACCAAGGCUUUGACGGGUAGCCGGCCUGAGAGGGUGACCGGCCACAUUAGGACUGAGAGACGGCCCAGACUCCUACGGGAGGCAGCAGUGGGGAAUAUUGCACAAUGGGCGGAAGCCUGAUGCAGCAACGCCGCGUGCGGGAUGACGGCCUUCGGGUUGUAAACCGCUUUCGCCUGUGACGAAGCGUGAGUGACGGUAAUGGGUAAAGAAGCACCGGCUAACUACGUG